UACGUAGGGGGCAAGCGUUGUCCGGAAUCAUUGGGCGUAAAGCGCGUGUAGGCGGUCCGGUAAGUCCGCUGUGAAAGUCGGGGGCUCAACCCUCGGAUGCCGGUGGAUACUGUCGGGCUUGAGUACGGAAGAGGCGAGUGGAAUUCCUGGUGUAGCGGUGAAAUGCGUAGAUACUGGGAGGAACACCGGUGGCGAAGGCGGCUACCUGGACCGGUUCUGACGCUGAUGCGCGAAAGCGUGGGUAGCAAACAGG
rnacentral:rRNA from 1 species